GGAAGAGGCAGGAGUGAUCGGAUUUAUAAUUGUCGCGCCGUGAUGUGUUUUUGGAGAUUGUAGUAAACUUGUUGAGUUGCAAAGUUGUGCGAAUAGUAAUUAGUUUAGUGCGUGUUGAAAUUGUGCAGGUUUGUGGCAUUCUGCGAAGCUAGACACAUCACCCACCCAGCUAAAGAUCGCUUCUGACCCCACCGUCAGCUACGAGGAAUUUUCCCGGAAGUACGUCGACCGGAAGAGGGCUUGCAAACGUUCAUCGCGCCCUAGGCAAAGCUAGCAGACACCCAGACUCAUCGCGGAACUGCGCCAACCCUCGGCAAUUCAUCACCGCCGCCGAAACAUUCAUCGACGCGGUCGCGUGAAGACCACAGACCGGAGGGAAGUUCAUCAGCGUCACGCUCAUCGACGCGAGUGUCGAUCCACGGUGCGUCUCUACAUGAAUGAACGACCGUGGUGAUUUCCGUAAAUUCCCUCCAAGCGUACGCAAAGCAAGCAAACCGUAAGUAAUCAUGCAUGAUUAAGUAAGUCCAUGCGCAUGGCUC